GAUGAACGCUAGCUACAGGCUUAACACAUGCAAGUCGAGGGGAAACGACAUCGAAAGCUUGCCUUUGAUGGGCGUCGACCGGCGCACGGGUGAGUAACGCGUAUCCAACCUGCCCAUCACUUGGGAAUAACCUUGCGAAAGUAAGACUAAUACCCAAUGAUAUCCCACGAAGGCAUCGGAAUGGGAUUAAAGAUUUAUCGGUGAUGGAUGGGGAUGCGUCUGAUUAGCUUGUUGGCGGGGUAACGGCCCACCAAGGCAACGAUCAGUAGGGGUUCUGAGAGGAAGGUCCCCCACAUUGGAACUGAGACACGGUCCAAACUCCUACGGGAGGCAGCAGUGAGGAAUAUUGGUCAAUGGGCGAGAGCCUGAACCAGCCAAGUAGCGUGCAGGAAGACGGCCCUAUGGGUUGUAAACUGCUUUUAUAAGGGAAUAAAGUGGGUCACGUGUGACUUUUUGCAUGUACCUUAUGAAUAAGGACCGGCUAAUUCCGUG
rnacentral:rRNA from 1 species